UGCUAGCAAAAAGGACCGAGAGCAAAUGGCUGUGGCUGUGCCAAGAGCUAGGGGAACAUUUCGGUUCUAAUUUUCCAUUUUUCGUAUCACGGUUUAUUUUACACGGCAAUCGGUUGCAAAUAUAAAUGUAUAAAAUGCAAAUGUGUCGAGUGUAGCUUUGUGUGUACGAUUGAACAUGAACGCUGUUUCGGUUCAAUGAUGAAAAUUUAUUAGCCGAAAGAUAGUGAUCAUAACACAUAUCAAGCAGUGAUUAAAAAUAUCGAGCCCUUUAGCGUGCCUGGUGGUAGGUAUUUAUCAAGCUUGUACCAUUCGAAGGGUAGAGAAAACCUCGUAACUCGUUCUAAAUACAUGUGGAAUUGUGGGGCGCGGUUAUGCUUUAGGGGUAAACUAUUUAUUUCUCACUUUUCUUGAGGUUUAUGAAGAAAGUAAAAUCGAACCUGAUUUCGACCCCGUUGAGUGGAAAUCUGUGUAAAUUUGCCAGGACGCGACUGUACAACAAAUUGCUGCAAUAGUAUAGGAAUGUUCAACGUUGAUUCUUUUUGAGCAGGAAAAGCACAAUGUUUUCACAAUUGAUGUUCAUUUAUCACAAGCGUUAACUAGCAGCAUUAGCUGAUGUGACUAGAGUGUGUGCCAUUUUUUUGUCGGUGUGAAAAAUACAAGUGUAAGUCAUGGAUCAGCAUCAGUCCGUUGCCUUGAAGGAAACGUAUACGCGUCCCGCUGGUGUAGAAUCAUCCAACACGCAUCUUUUUCGUGCAAACCAUACAAAACCGCCUGAAAUACCUGUCCGUGUCGGUGCAGGGAGUGUUAAAGCACCAGAAAUACCUCCAAAGAAUCUCACGAAACGACCAACCACUAUUGGAGCUGCCAGCAAGGAUGAAAAUAUUCCUAGCGCUGGUAUGCUAUUAUCGCAACGUGUUGCACCAAACCGUGCGCCUCCCUUGCCGCAAAAGUUGGCAAACGCUGCGCAGGGUAGCAUCAACAGCACUGCAAUUAUUCAACCAGCGCCACAACCCGUUGGUUCUAGUGUGGGAGUGUCUGGAGGGAUUGCUGUAACAACAACAACAACAACAGCAGCAGCAGCGGCAUUGGUAGCUCCUAUGCCAACUAGGACUAUUGAUGCAAUAAGCAAGGAUCGUCCAGUUACUGCUAAGACGUCAAAACCUGCUAAGCUAGAAGAUUAUGGGUCGGAGGAUGCUCUACGAGGCAUUGAGAGCGGCUUGCGAAAUGUUGAAAGAGCCAUCAAAGAGCAAAUGAGCUUACGGUCUUCUGUAGAGUUAGAGGAGCACCAAAAUAACAUCACGCAUCAAGUAAAAUAUGGACGCUUGGAUCUGAUGGGCAAACAUACAAAUUCAAUGGGAUCAGCCACGUCUUUGGAUAAUCCGUUUGAUGCCGCGCCAGCUUCUGCUCCCGGCAUUGCACAAGGGUUUAAGUUUGAUCGGUUCGAUCAGAAUCCCAAGCAAAUCGGAUUGGAGCGUGGUGUUAGCAUGGAGAAAUUGCGCUACGAUGCUGGUGGAUCAGGCUCAUUUCACGAUCAUAGCUCGAAUGGCACCGAACACGUCAUGCCGCAAAGACCGAUGGACCAUCAGUUUCGGUCGCUGGAUCGCCAUCUGCCGCUCGAAUUGCAGUACGGAAAUAGCCAACAGCAGCGGCAACGUUCACAAGAAAUGGAAUUUAUCAAACAACAACUACUUCCUGUUAUUGCACGAAACAAAGAAACAAACAGCUUAAACCGUCAAAUGGGACUUUCUAAGGACGAUCUUCGAACAAGAAGACGCUCAUCUCAUGAUGAGAGCCUUUUUUCGAUGAACAAUUCAGCUCCCCGAAUGAAAGAGCAAUGGGAGGAUACAAACCAGUCGGUAAUGCAACGCAAAACCCAACUAACGGCAAUGCUUGGCGACUCUCAAAGAUACGAAGCAAAGCGCCUGGAAAUAGACGCUUGGUUAAGUAGGAUGGAGACAAUAACGGAACGGAUGGGACCAGUAGCAACGACGGCCGACGUAUUGGACAUUCAACAAAAAGAGCAAAAGUCGUUUCAUGCGGAGCUGCAUAAAUUUAAUCAUCAAAUUGAGUUAUUCAACCAACUGACCCAAAAGUUAAUAUCAGUCUACCAGUGUGACGAUACAUCGAGAAUUAAGCGUAUGACGGAAUCAAUCAACUUGAGGUACAAUAACUUAAAUAACUCCAUCAUAUCAAGAGGAAAACAGCUUCAUGCCGCCAUCCAUUCAUUGCAAACAUUUGAUCGUACAUUUGAACAGUUCCUUGGUUGGCUGAGUGAAGCUGAAUCUUUAUGUGAAAACACUGAAACCGAAGCAGAAAGGAAUCCGCAUUGCUUAAAGGAUUUGCAAUCUGAAAUCGACGCAAACCGCAAGGUUUAUGAAGGAUUGGAUAAUACUGGACGUAAAUUGCUGCGCUCACUAACUUCCCAGGAAGAUGCAGUGAUGUUGCAGCACAAGCUAGAUGAAAUGAAUCAACGCUGGAAUCAUCUGAACUCGCGCAGUGCUGCCAUCAGAAAUCGGCUGGAAUCUAACUCUGAUCACUGGAAUGCUUUAUUACUUUCGUCGCGCGAGCUUACCGAAUGGGUAAUUCGAAAAAAUACCGAACUCACCUCAAUCGGUUUUGGCUCAAUCAAUGGAGACUCCAACAGUUUACAAAUGCAGCUGGAUGAACACAAAGCAUUUCGCCGGCAGCUUGACGAUAAGCGGUCAAUCAUUGAAAACAAUCUAAUGAAUGGAAGGCAAUACAUAUCAAAUGAAUCACCACUCUCUGAUACCAGCGAUUCCGAAGCGAUUGACGAAACAAUGUAUAUUUCUACGGAAGAGCAAAAUCGUAUCCUCAGCCGAAGCAUACGCAGAGAGGUCAACAAACUGUCGGAACAGUGGAGUUUGUUGAUUGAAAGGUGUGAUAAAUGGAAGCAUCGUCUGGAUGAAAAUAUAACGAAAAUGCGCCAGUUCCAAAAAAUCUUGGAAGAUCUAAGUUCGCGAGUAGCAUCAGCCGAGACAAUUACACAUUCAUGGACGACCCCAGCUCCUGGAUCAGACACAACAGAAGAAAUGCAACAUUUGCAGCGUUUGAAAGACAAACUUACAACAGCAAAUGCACUACUGGAUGACUGCAACGAGCAGCAGAAUUUUUUCUCGUCUUGUCGAGUAAUUGUUCCGAGCCCUUAUUUGGCAAAACUAGAGGACAUUAACACUCGUAUGAAGCUUUUGCACAUUGCUGUGGAAGAGCGAUUCAAGGUACUGCAGCAAAGUAUGCAAACAACUGCCGAAGAUGGUAUAGUUGGGAGCCACCAUGAGGAGGGUGGCAAAUUUUCAAAACCUCUUCACAUUGCCGCCGGAAGUUCGACUGUUCCAAACUUAGAGAAAAGUGUCCAAAUACCAUGGGAACGUGCAGUGACACCUGCUAAUGUGCCUUAUUAUAUCAAUCAUGAACGCGAAAGCACACAUUGGGAUCAUCCAGAAAUGAUAGAACUAAUGAAAUCACUGGCUGAUUUGAAUGAAGUCCGUUUUUCAGCAUACCGUACUGCUUUGAAGCUCCGUACUGUGCAGAAAAAGCUAGCGUUUGACCGUUUGAAUAUGAGUGUAGCGAUUGAAAUAUUUGACCGAUAUGGCUUACGUGCACAAAAUGACAAGCUAAUUGAUAUUCCCGAUAUGACAACGAUUUUAAAUUCAUUGUACACAACGCUUGAACCCAUCGAUCGAGCAGUAAUGCUUGAUUUAGCUAUCAAUUGGGUUCUCAAUGUGUACGAUUCACAGCGUACGGGACAAAUAAGGGUGCUCAGUUUCAAGGUGGGUUUGAUUUUACUGUGCCGUGGCCAUCUGGAGGAAAAAUACCGUUACCUUUUCCGAUUGAUUGCUGACCUGGAAAAAAAGGUGGACCAACGAAAAAUGGGGCUACUGUUGCACGAUUGUAUACAAGUGCCCCGCCAGUUGGGAGAAGUUGCUGCGUUUGGUGGAUCAAAUAUUGAACCUUCAGUUCGAUCGUGCUUCGAACUCGCUGGAGGCGUUAAUCAAAAUGGAGAGCUGACGGAGACAGCCAUUGAGGCGCAGCAUUUCCUUAGUUGGCUACAACAUGAACCGCAAAGCAUUGUAUGGCUUCCUGUACUUCAUAGACUUGUUGCAGCUGAAACUGCAAAACAUCAAGCAAAAUGUAACAUAUGCAAGGAGUACCCAAUUGAAGGCUUUCGGUACCGCUGCUUGAAAUGUUUCAAUUUCGAUAUGUGCCAAAAGUGUUUCUUCACUGGUCGCAGCACAAAGAACCAUAAGCUCAGUCAUCCUAUGCAUGAAUACUGCACAACGGCUACAUCAACAGAAGACGUUAGAGAUUUCACAAGAGCAUUAAGGAACAAAUUUAAGAGUCGAAAGUAUUUUAAGAAACACCCCCGCGUGGGUUACCUUCCCGUUCAAAGUGUUUUAGAAGGAGACGCUUUGGAAAGUCCUAUACCCAGCCCGCAGCACGGAACGCAUACACUACAAAAUGAUAUGCACUCCCGUCUGGAAAUGUAUGCUUCUCGAUUAGCGCAAGUUGAGUGUGGAACUAGAUCAAAUUCUACACCGGAUAGUGAUGAUGAGCACCAACUGAUUGCGCAGUACUGUCAAGCAUUACCCGCUGCGAAUGCUGUUGGAAAUAGUACGGGAAGCGGUGGGCCGAAGUCUCCCGUUCAAGUGAUGGCUGCAAUGGAAGCGGAACAGCGCGAAGAGUUAGAAACCAUGAUAAAGGAGCUGGAAGAAGAAAAUGCGAAUUUGCAAGCGGAGUAUGAGAAACUUAAGGCAAAGAAAACAAGCACACCCAUCACUACACCGGACGAAGGAUAUAAAACUCCAACAUCGACAUCUAAUGCCAUUGUCUCAUCUGUGACCACAUCAUCAUCUGGAGGAUCGGACAUGGUUACCGAGGCCAAACUGCUCCGACAACACAAAGGACGAUUAGAAGCAAGGAUGCAAAUAUUAGAAGACCACAAUAAACAGUUGGAGGCACAGUUACAACGUCUUCGACAAUUGCUGCAUGAGCCAACAAUUCCUAAACCACAAACGCUGCAAACUCGGUCCGUCACAGCAUCACAACUGAAUACCGAUUCGCCGGCCAAAAUGCAACACAAUGGACAUUAUGAUCAUAAGAUAUCUUCGGAAUCCUCUCAAAAACCAGCUUCAUUUUAUGGCGCCGUCGGAGGAGGCAGCGUAAACGGAUUCUUGUCAAUGGCAGGCGAAGAAAUGAGGCAACGUGAGCAAUACAGUGUGGAUGCAUUUGAUAAGACGGGUGCUGGAGUAGCUGCUGUCACCAAUGCUUUUGCCGCCAAUAAACCUGCUGGAUCUAAUGGAGGUGGCGUUGGUAUUGGGAGUAGUGGUGCAAAUAGUAAUAUCAUGUCAUCCGAAUAUACUAUGGAUGAGCGACCACCUCCGCCACCCCAUUCAAGUUUGUUGCACAUGGCCGGAAGAAUACAGUAAAUAAAAUUAUUUAUCUUAUUCUAUGUUGUACUUCUCGCAUAGUCGCAGUUAUUAAAAACGACCUCAAUAAAGCUGUGGAGGAAUUGGUGCACAUCAUGACGACGGAGUCAAAAGAUGAUUUGCAAAACGAUAGCACAAACGUUGGACUGCAAUAAACAAUAAGGUAGUAGUGGUAGUGCGUAUCGCUAAAAGAUAGUUAAUGAACCCCAUUGUCUAAUUCGAUCGAUAUCCUAUUGGGAAACAUAGUCAUGCAUAUCCUUUACGUAUCAUGAAAUAAUUACAGGCUUUUGAAUUGAAUAGCUAACAUCUAGUAACAAACAGGCAUCAUUUGGAAACACACACGUUGCUCCAAUUGCCGAUUUCACACUCGAUAGCGAAGUUCGUGUUUCACAAAUAUUUAUAUUAUUAUUAUUAGUUAUUGAUCCAAGUAUGAUAUCCAUCAUUGGUACGGACAUUAUCUAUUAUACAAAGAUAUAUCCUAUAUACGAAAAAUAUGCAUACAUGCAAAUAAUUUUAACAAAGCCACAUAGCUUACCUUCAGCUAAAUAACCAUUCAUAUCAUAUGAUGCAUAAUGUUAACUAUCGUAAAAAGGCAAAAAGAAUACGCGCAACAACUGACGAUACGUUUUUCAUUCAUUUAAUUUAUGCUGCGUUUUCUCUGCUCAGUUUAGCAAGUUUAACAAAGCGACUUUUUAAAGUAUGUUUCGUAACAUGUUAUAUAUCUUGUAUGCUCUUGUAUGAAAAGUGUAGUAAAUCAUACUUUCCUGUUGGUUUUGUUGCAAUCAUUGCUAUUAAAGUGUUAUUUUCAUCAGAUGAUAAAACAAUGUGAAUUGUAUUGAAUAAUUUUAAUUUUUUUUUAUAAAGAUUUCCAUAAAUAGAUUUCAAAAGAUGGCAUUCUAUGUAAUAAAAGAAGGCAAAAUAGAAACACCAAAAAUAAUUGCAACUUAUCAGCGCGUAACAUUUAUUUUGCGUGGUGAUUUUAAUUAGUUAUAUUAAAUUAUUCGUCGAAAAAAAUAUUUGUUUAUUGUGAAGACAAGUAAACAUCGUUCUAAAAAAGUAUUAACAAAAAUGCAAUACAUUUCGCACAUAAUGAUUCAACAUCGAACAGUUUAAAAUGUAUCGUUGUGUAGAGGUGACCAUGAUAAGAAAAUGCAAAUAAGUCGACAAAUGAAUGUAUUCCGACAAUGAAAAUUCAACAUUCAACUCUGUUCAACGAAUUUUGUGCUUUGUCGUUUGUUUAGCGACUACCAUACAUAUCAAAGACACAAUAACAACUGGAAAAUAGCGUAACAAUCUGAUCGAUUAAAAGUGGAUAUUAACUUGAAGAAUAAAAAAACAGGAUAAUAAAAUGAUUAAACCAAAACAAAUGGUGUCAAUCGCAUUAAAGCCGGGGGACACUGCCCGUACUCGCUGGUGGAAUUUCGAUUUUCACUAGCGCACCUGGCGGCGGCUGACCGAAGCAUUUUUCUAAACAAUUUGGAGCCUCUCCAGAAAAUAUAUUAGUUUUCCAUGUUUUAUACUUAACUUGGGCAAUAAAAGUUUUGUUAAAGGUAGAUACACAUGUUUUGCACGCAUUGCAUCCAUUUUCGCUAUGAAAAAAAGGUGAAAAUAUUACUUUAUUUUGAGAUCCAGCACGUCCAUUCCCUCGAUGACCAAAAAAAGCUUCCACCAGCACAAACCAGAUGCGCUAGUGAAAGUCGAAAUUACACUAGCGAGUACGGCCAGUAUCCCCCGGCCUUUAAGUUUACGGAAAGGCAACGUGAAAACGUCAUACAUCUCACAAAAGUUAAAUCCAAAAUGAAAUAAGAAGGAUCGUUUAGUUAUAUGUCGUACUACCAUACAAAAGACACUCUACUAACCUUUAUAUAGACAUAUCUUCCAUUUUUUUACAAACCGGAUACUCCAACUCCAUAAAUUCUCGACAUUAGUGAAACAUAUUAACAAACCUGUAAUGCCAUCUUUCUAUGUAGACGCAUUGUUAUUAAAACAUCCAAACUAAGCAGUAGUUAAAUAUUCUUAUGACAUUAACAAAAACAAAAAAACAUUACCUUCGCAUUACCUGUACUAUUGCACUCCGGCAAAUAACAUUUUCUAAAACAAGUUUGACUAGUAUAAGUAUUCAGCGGUAUUUGAAAUUAUCGUCUAUAUGUGCGAGUGCUAGUGCGAUUCCUAAGCAAUUGUUUGAAGAGGGCCCAAGGAAAACUCUAUACCUAUUACACAUAAACGACACGAACAUGACAGGGAAACAACAAUGAUAAUAUUCGUCAGUAUAAUAAAUGCUUUGAUCGCAAUGUCUUACAUCUCAUGUUGUAUUAUCAACAGCAAACAUAACAUAUUCAGCAACACUAGUAGAUGAAGAAUGUUUUAACCCCCGGUGCGUGCACUUCAACUAUGCUUUACUUAAUUUGAAGCGAAAAUCCCAUAGGAUAAGUGCACCAUUGAUUGUAAACCAACGGAUGUAGAUUGAUGCUCAAUCUCGAAGGAAAAUUAUUGCUGGAUAAAAACACAACAUUAUGGCAUGUUUAAAUUGCUUACAAAUAUACUAAGAAUAGAAGCUGUGCGACGGUAUACAACUAAUCAUCCAUGCAAGAUAGUAGUAGUUGUUGCAUACAAAGGAAUACAGAAACAAAACUCAAUAAACAAACAAUGAUAGAACAAAACA